GUAGAACCAAAGUUAUGUUGGAAAUGGAGUGCGCAUUUUCUUGACUGCCACAAAUAAUUCUGCGGAAGCAAAAAGUAAGUUAGUUACGGACUCCAAAGGGUUAAAGCGUAAAAAAUGAACUGAAAAAAUCCGUUUUCCCAGAAAGUGUGCUGGUUUGCAAGGGUGCUGCAUAAACAAGUGCCGGAUUAGAGAGGGACGACUGUACCAAUAAUUGCUGUAUCUUUUCAAACGAAUCCUGAUGACAAUAAUUAUUAAAUGAGUGAUAUUUGUGGAUACUCGACAUCAUUCCAGUGCAGUAAUACUCAGCAGAGAUCUGUAUGCAGAACGGCGCACUGCGGCACUGGUUGCUUUGCUUAGUCAGCGGCUGGAACUGGAGACCGUCGAUGAGUGAAAGUGCAGACCGUGGCGUCCGCGAUCCAAACUUUGGGAGAGUUUAGUCUUUAGAGGUGCAUUCCCAGCGUGCUGUGAGCUGCAUCAGGGUGGAUGGCGCGCACAUGGACUCACUCGAGUCACUGCACACUACCUGUGACAGGGACAACGAACACGAUCGACUCUGAUGUAGACUACUAUUCCGACUCCGGUAGGUCUCCAGGCGUACUAAGAUCAUGAAGUGACUGACGAGAGAAUCACCAAUACCUUUCAAGCAAACGGUCAACAAAUGAAUGAAGUGCAAUGAUGGAAAUGGAAGCAAGGAGGUGAAGACCAGACUUUGCUGGACAGCUAGAAGACGUGUUAUGGCCAACGCCGUAUACGUAGUACAGCCGAGUACUAGUAGUACACUGUCAGUGGCCAGGUCUCACACCGAGGAGCAGUACAAGCAAGCAUGGACUGAUUGUCAGUGUUCAAGUACAGGGAAUCACCAUGCAACACAGAACAUGCAGUUUGUCCACCAACAAGUGCAAUGUCAACUGAUAGCCGAGUAGCAAGACGGAUAUGUGGACGUCAGUGCAGAACGCCUUUGUGAUGGGCAAUGUAGCCUUGCAAUUGCAGCUGGUGGUGCUUGUGGUAGGAGGCAGCCUCGGGUAGUCCCAGCAGAGAGUACAUCAUGCGAAGAUCGAGUCUUGCUCACCCUCCGGGUGAAUACCUGGCAGUGCAAGAAAGCUCCUUGGCACAUCACACAAUGUGGGUCACAAGAAUGACGCACAGCAGAAAUAAAUCCAUAUACUGCCGCUUUCUCUUGCUGGUUGUGCUGCUGCAAGUAUCAACCUGUUGUGAACUGUGUUUUCCUCUCGCCCUCUCCUCAUCAAAUAUAUUUUUAUUGUGAACUAGCCUCUAGUUUGGCAGGUUAGCAUCACUCUGCUCUUGUGGCUCCUUGUUCACAACCAGAGUCACCCACUCCCGACUGUCUGUCUUUUUCUCACACUGUGGUUGUCUGUUUGUCUCUGUCUGUCUGUCUGUCUGUCUGUCUGUCUGUCUGUCUGUCUGUCUGUCUGUCUGUCUGUCUGCCUUUCUCCCCUCUCUCUCUCUCUCUCUCUCUCUCUCUCUCUCUUUCUCUCUCUCUCUCUCUCUCUCUCUCUCUCUCUCUCUCUCUCUCUCCCCCUCCCUCCCUCCCUCUCUCCUUCUAUAUCUCUGUUCUAUUUGUCUGGUGGUUGGCGGAGUUGGCAGAAACGCUUAUCGAUGUGGUGGAUGGGGAGUGUGAGCACAAAGCCAAGUUGCAUGCUUUACCCAUAUUUUUCUCAGGCAUUAAUUCUGUUCAAGGUCCACUCCUAUAUCCUCUGCUCAUUUACAAGUUGCGAAUAUUUCCGAAGUCAUAGAGGCAACUUAGGCCGACGGUUAUGUAGGGCUUGAGGUGAGAGCUACCAUCUUUUUAACGGCAUGAUGUACGUUUCCAAGGUUACUUUAACAACGUGCUGUCAAACACCGGGCCUCCUUAUGUACUACAUGCAUCGUUACGAGAUCAGCUAGAAAAUUGUGUUGCUAGGCAACGGCCAAAGUGUUGGAUCGAGUUUGACACUACUCGUGCA